ensembl:rRNA 5S_rRNA 5S ribosomal RNA
GUCUACAGCCACACCACCCUGAAUGCGCCCGAUCUCAUCUGAUCUCGGAAGCUAAGCAGGGUCCGGCCUGGUUAGUACUUGGACGGGAGACA